rnacentral:rRNA from 1 species
GACGAACGCUGGCGGCGUGCUUAACACAUGCAAGUCGAGCGGUAAGGCCCUUUCGGGGGUACGACGAGCGGCGAACGGGUGAGUAACACGUGGGUGACCUGCCCUCAGCUCUGGGAUAAGCCUGGGAAACCGGGUCUAAUACCGGAUAUGACUCCAUGACGCAUGUUGUGGGGUGGAAGGCCUUGUGCGGCUGAGGAUGGGCCCGCGGCCUAUCAGCUUGUUGGUGGGGUGAUGGCCUACCAAGGCGACGACGGGUAGCCGGCCUGAGAGGGCGACCGGCCACACUGGGACUGAGACACGGCCCAGACUCCUACGGGAGGCAGCAGUGGGGAAUCUUGCGCAAUGGGCGAAAGCCUGACGCAGCGACGCCGCGUGAGGGAUGACGGCCUGG